GGUUGAUCCUGCCGGACCUGACUGCUAUCGGAUUGAUACUAAGCCAUGCGAGUCAUUGUAGUAAUACAAGGCAGACGGCUCAGUAACGCGUAGUCAACCUAACCUAUGGACGGGAAUAACCUCGGGAAACUGAGUAUAAUGCCCGAUAGAACAUUAUGCCUGGAAUGGUUUAUGUUCCAAAUGAUUUAUCGCCGUAGGAUGGGACUGCGGCCUAUCAGUUUGUUGGUGAGGUAAUGGCCCACCAAGACUAUUACAGGUACGGGCUCUGAGAGGAGUAGCCCGGAGAUGGGUACUGAGACACGGACCCAGGCCCUAUGGGGCGCAGCAGGCGAGAAAACUUUGCAAUGUGCGAAAGCACGACAAGGUUAAUCCGAGUGGUUUCUGCUAAAGGAACCUUUUGUUAGUCCUAGAAACACUAACGAAUAAGGGGUGGGCAAGUUCUGGUGUCAGCCGCCGCGGUAAAACCAGCACCUCAAGUGGUCAGGAUGAUUAUUGGGCCUAAAGCAUCCGUAGCCGGCUCUGUAAGUUUUCGGUUAAAUCUGUACGCUCAACGUACAGGCUGCCGGAAAUACUGCAGAGCUAGGGAGUGGGAGAGGUAGACGGGUACUCGGGAGGAAGGGGUAAAAUCCUUUGAUC
rnacentral:rRNA from 1 species